rnacentral:rRNA from 1 species
AGUGAGCGCUGGCGGUAGGCCUAACACAUGCAAGUCGAACGGCAGCACAGUAAGAGCUUGCUCUUACGGGUGGCGAGUGGCGGACGGGUGAGGAAUACAUCGGAAUCUACUUUUUCGUGGGGGAUAACGUAGGGAAACUUACGCUAAUACCGCAUACGACCUACGGGUGAAAGCAGGGGAUCUUCGGACCUUGCGCGAUUGAAUGAGCCGAUGUCGGAUUAGCUAGUUGGCGGGGUAAAGGCCCACCAAGGCGACGAUCCGUAGCUGGUCUGAGAGGAUGUUCAGCCACACUGGAACUGAGACACGGUCCAGACUCCUACGGGAGGCAGCAGUGGGGAAUAUUGGACAAUGGGCGCAAGCCUGAUCCAGCCAUACCGCGUGGGUGAAGAAGGCCUUCGGGUUGUAAAGCCCUUUUGUUGGGAAAGAAAAGCAGCAGGUUAAUACCCCGCUGUUCUGACGGUACCCAAAGAAUAAGCACCGGCUAACUUCGUG